CCUACGGGAGGCAGCAGUGGGGAAUAUUGGGCAAUGGGCGCAAGCCUGACCCAGCAACGCCGCGUGAAGGAAGAAGGCUUUCGGGUUGUAAAAUUCUUUUAAGAGGGAAGAGCAGAAGACGGUACCUCUUGAAUAAGCCACAGCUAACUAAGUGACAGCAGCCGCGGGAAUACGUAGGUGGCAAGCGUUGUCCGGAUUUACUGGGUGGAAAGGGCGUGCAGGCGGGAAGACAAGUCAGAUGUGAAAUCCCGCGGCCUAACCGCGGAACUGCAUUUGAAACUGUUUGUCUUGAGUACCGGAGAGGUCAUCGGAAUUCCUUGUGUAGCGGUGAAAUGCGUAGAUAUAAGGAAGAACACCAGUGGCGAAGGCGGAUGACUGGACGGCAACUGACGGUGAGGCGCGAAAGCGUGGGGAGCAAACAGGAUUAGAUACCCCGGUAGUC
rnacentral:rRNA from 1 species